ACUCCUACGGGAGGCAGCAGUGGGGAAUCUUGGACAAUGGGCGCAAGCCUGAUCCAGCCAUGCCGCGUGAGUGAUGAAGGCCCUAGGGUCGUAAAGCUCUUUCGCCAGGGAUGAUAAUGACAGUACCUGGUAAAGAAACCCCGGCUAACUCCGUGCCAGCAGCCGCGGUAAUACGGAGGGGUUAGCGUUGUUCGGAAUUACUGGGCGUAAAGCGCGCGUAGGCGGACUGGAAAGUUGGGGGUGAAAUCCCGGGGCUCAACCCCGGAACUGCCUCCAAAACUCCCAGUCUUGAGUUCGAGAGAGGUGAGUGGAAUUCCGAGUGUAGAGGUGAAAUUCGUAGAUAUUCGGAGGAACACCAGUGGCGAAGGCGGCUCACUGGCUCGAUACUGACGCUGAGGUGCGAAAGUGUGGGGAGCAAACAGGAUUAGAUACCCUGGUAGGAUAGCG
rnacentral:rRNA from 1 species